GUACGUUUGUGUGUGAAUAGUGUUCAGCACCAAGGACAGGUACGUUUGUGUGUGAAUAGUGUUUCGCACCAAGGACAGGUACGUUUGUGU
rfam:Branchiostoma floridae genomic scaffold BRAFLscaffold_267, whole genome shotgun sequence.